CACGGCCGGGGCCUCCACCGCCGCUCCACGCCCCCAUCCUCCUCCUCCGCCGCCGCCGCUCCCAGCCUCCAUCCUCCGCCGCUCCACGCCCCCCCACUCUUCGCCCGCUCCUCUUGUGCUGCCCCACGGACGCCAGCUCGGGCCGCCGCCGCCAACCGCUGGCACCCCACCGCCGCCCGCCGAUCCUAAACUCGGGCGUCGCUCCAAUCGCCUGCCGUCGCCGCUCCACUCGGCCUCCACCACCGAUCCUCCACUCGCCCACAGUUGCCGUUCAACUUGAUCUCCUCCGCCGAUCCUCCACUUCACGGCCGGCCACUUAUACGGAAUCUGCACUUUCCCAUAAUACCACGAUGGACUCCUCAAGUGGCAAGAAAAUUACUACGCAAUAGCUUGUGAACUUUUCAAGGAUGUUUUGAAUGAUCCACUAAUAUCCGAAAUUCAGAUGAAGAAUCAUCACCCACCUGCAUCCCCGUUAGGAUCAGGGGAAUGUUCCCUGUUUGAAGAUCUGGCGAAUACGCCUACUCAUGUUAAUGCAAAUCAAGCGGGAGUUGGCCUGCGGUUCUGUUGGUCUUCCCCAUCUCAGGGGUUGGGACUUGAGAGGCCGCGUAUAUGAGAUCCGAGAGGCACAUGGUUGUUUAUUCAUCGACUACGGUGCCGCUGCAUGGGGAGAACGGCUAUGGCUGACGCCUCCAUCUCUCUAAACGAUGCUGACACCAUAUUAUAAAUGACGCUGCCGACGACUCCUCUCAGACCGACCCUGGACGGUACAAUCUGGUUAUGCAAAUCUUCGUGUCUUACUACUGAGGAAUAUCCGUCUAUGAAGGCAAAUCAUGUUUACUUACUGAUGAUAGUGUGUUUUGGACAAUUGGGUUCGAGAAUAAUUGUGGUGAUUUGGAAAUUCUUAACUUGGAUAAUAACACAAGGAACGAACUUGUGUCUCCUCAACUUUCUGUUACGGACCUAAAUCAAGCAGAGGCCAGAAUCACCUUCUAAGGUCUCUCGUUCGCUUCAUAGCAUCGGAAGAAGGAUAUAAAUUCAGGUUACACCCUUGGGUGCAUGAAGGAGGAAGUGGGUGAGAUAUAGAUGGAAGCAGGAUUGGGACGAGAGAUAGAGGUAAUCCAGCAAAAGGGCGAGGACCAAAGAGGUAGGUGAUUCAAAUUCAGGUCACCGUCGUUUCCUUUGAUGCUUCGCCUUGAAGUCUUUCCUCUGGUUAAGUAGCCUACCGAGUCGAAGGAGGCCACAGAAGCUUGUAUCUUCUGGGUUGGACUUUGUCUUCUUCAGGGUUGGUGGCGAUGGCUGGUGCUUGUAAUUUUGCAGCCCUUGCCAGUGUCGUGGUGGGAGGACUGCCAUGAAAGGUACUGGAGCAAGAUUUCUUAUAUCUGGGUGAGGGCAUCAAUCAAUGUUGGGACAAGGAAUCUCAUCACUGCAACAAUAUAUAGCUACCACAUUGGACCAGGCGCGUUUAUCUUGAGCAUAGCUAGACGGAAAAACAUAUUUCCUGAGCUGGCAUGUGAAGGAAGCAAACAAAAGGACUGCACUCACACGGAACCAUGAAGCCAACGAUCUAUGUCAACCAGAUGUUUUAGAUUUCAUUUUGCACAAUUGAUGUCUCAUACUUGCAUCUUUUACCUUCUGUGAACCUGAUGCAUGGUGUCAUGGUGGUUAUGUUUAGAAGACUGAAGUGUAUGUAUGUGACAAAUAGUUAAUGGAAUAAAAAAAUGUUUGGUGCACCUGAUGUGAGCCUGAUGUAUGGUGUCUUGGUGAUUAUACUUAGAACACAUGAACUAUAUGUAUGUGACAAUCA